AGGGCACCACCAGGAGUGGAGCCUGCGGCUUAAUUUGACUCAACACGGGAAAUCUCACCAGGCCCGGACACCGGAAGGAUUGACAGAUUGAGAGCUCUUUCUUGAUUCGGUGGGUGGUGGUGCAUGGCCGUUCUUAGUUGGUGGAGCGAUUUGUCUGGUUAAUUCCGAUAACGAACGAGACUCUGGCCUACUAACUAGACGUUGGAUCCCUUUGUGGGUCCAUCGCAGCUUCUUAGAGGGACGGGCGGCGUUUAGCCGCACGAGAUUGAGCAAUAACAGGUCUGUGAUGCCCUUAGAUGUUCUGGGCUGCACGCGCGCUACACUGAAAGAAUCAGCGUGUGUUCCCUACCCGAAAGGGUUGGGAAACCCGUUGAACCUCUUUCGUGAUGGGGAUUGGGGAUUGCAAUUAUUCCCCAUGAACGAGGAAUUCCCAGUAGGCGCGAGUCAUAAGCUUGCGUCGAUUACGUCCCUGCCCUUUGUACACACCGCCCGUCGCUACUACCGAUCGAGUGAUUUAGU
rnacentral:rRNA from 1 species